rnacentral:tRNA from 1 species
GAGGGCGCCAUAAGACCUGCUAACUCUUUAAUCUGGGA